UGCCCACCUUGGCCUCUCAAAGUGCAGGGAUUACAGCAAGGACGAUAGGCCUGAGUGUGAAGUUAAGAGAAUGGAAGAGAAGAUAGACAAUGGAAUGCCAAUCUCAAAACAAAUCAUUGAAAAUUGAGAUGAAAAUGCCAAAUGUCUGCAUUCAUAUAAUGGAAAUAAUCGAGCUGUGGACAAUCAUCUAUGCUUUUGAUCAUUCUGGGAUUAGAGGAAUUCCUUACACUUAUGGAAUUCAACUGUGUCAAAAGAUGAGGAAUAAAAAAAUGAAUUUAAGUAAAAUGAGAACUUGUAUCCUAAAUUUGAACAGAACUCAAGGCCAACUUUUUGUAAUAAUAUUCUGACUGGGCUUUGUAACUGUGCUCUUUUACAGCCUCUUCUUUUUCUUCUGUCUUCUUCCCCGUCUUCUUUCUCAUUGGCCUCAGUUAAAACACACACACACACACAACAUCUAAAGGCCACAUAUAUGCUUUAGAUACGGUGCCAGGUUCUAGACAGAGCAAAAUGGGAGAGGAUAUGGGCCAUUUUCUUUUAGAACUUAACACGUUAAAAUCAUGUGUAAUGAGUGUGUGCAUUGAGUGAUAUACAGUCAGCUCUCCAUAUCCGUGGAUAAAAAGCAUAUGGAAAAACCACUGCAAAAAA
rnacentral:lncRNA from 1 species